rnacentral:snRNA from 1 species
AUCAUUGUAUGAAAAACCCAAAAACAUGAAUAAAAAUCUGUUCUUAUCAGCUUAAUAUCUGAUACGGGUCCUAUUUGGACCCAAGAUAUUAAUCUUAUUUUUGGAAUGCGGCGUAGUGCUUGAGGUUUACCUCACCUAUGCCACGGGUUGGCCCGGUAUUGCACUGCCUCCGGGAUCGGCCCACCCCCC